CCGGGUUAUUACACCAUAUCGUUGUGAUUUCGAGGAGUGGGCAAUGGAAUAGAAUGAGAAUGAGAAUGAGGAUGAGGAGGAGGAGGAGGAUUGUGAUGAAUCAAGUGACCACCAAAUGUACUAUUGAUUGGAAUUGGCAUCUCACCAUCUUGACCUGAGAGUUCCAUUUCUUGACUUGUGUUGUUUAUUUGGAGACCAAAGUUGAAGAAACAACAAGAGAGGAAGAGAAGAAUUAUCUUGGAUGUGUAAAUUAUUUAAGAUCAAAAGUGAUGGGUGAGCUACCUUAACAAACCAAUUUCUAGGAGCUUGUUUUUAACCACUUGUGCACUCUAAAAAAGUAAACAUGCAUGCUACACAAUUAGGAAACUAUUACUAAUCAUUGAUCCUACCUAUUAUACUACAAAACAUGACAUUCUUUAUAUUUUCCUCAACCUCAGCAAAAAUAAUUAAUUAGAAAAGUGCACACCUUGAAAUAAACUAGUGUGUGGGCAUGUGUCUUUUUUUUUUUUGGUUAAUCAGGCAGACAUGGCUAGCCAUGAGAACAAAGACUCUGACCAAAAGAAACAAGAAAAGAACUCAGGAGAAGCCUGAACAAUGACAGAAUGAGAUAAACUUGUAGACAUAAUUAAGCUACAACUAAGAAGAGAAAAGAGAAAACAGUAAAAAAUUGUUGGGUUUAGUUUAAGAUAGUAUUAUAAAAAGCAGGAAUAUAGGUCUGCAGAUUUCAGAGAAGGAGAAGAAGAAAGACAAUGGAGAGUUUUCUCACUCUCCUAUCGGCACAUAACACAUCCAACCAAUAGCAGACAACACACAACACAUAAGGUUUCCCAUCCCAAUUGAUCUUAAAUCAAGUCUUGGGUUAAAAAUGAUUUUUCGGGAAUUUUCUGGAAUUUUUAAACAUUUUUCGGAAUUAAAAUCGAUAAAAGAAUCACUUUUCGGAUAAAUAAUCAAGUCCCAAAUACUUGAAAUUGGACUUGAAAUCAUUCAUAAACAAUUAUCGAGCCUUGAAAAUAAUUUAGAAAAAUAUUUCAAAGCUCGAAACCAAUUUUCGGAAUUUUUAAAUCAAAAAGGAUAAUUAAAUCCAAUUAAUUAAUCAAUUAAAAUCAAUUAAUAAUUAAUUAAAAUAAUUAAUCAAUUAAUAUUUAAAUUAAUUGACCAAUUAAAAUAAUUAAUUACUAAUUAAAAUUAAUUAACAAACUAAUUUAGAUUUAUUUUUGAAUAAAGAAAUAAUUAAAAACUAUUUUUGGAAUUUAAAAUAAUUAAAUAAAACAAUUUUAGAAAAUUAAAUCAAAAGGUUUAUUUUGUAAACUUUUGAAAGUUUUGUCCAGGGUUUAAAGUGUAACCUUUUUAAAGGUUCAGGGUCUGUUUUGCAAAGUUUCAAACCUGGGUGUUAACACUUCACCACCUUUAAAAGUCUGGGGGCCAAACAGCAAUUUCGCUGCCGCCGCCCCCUGGACUCGCCGGAAAACACCGCCCAGGCCACCACCUUCUUCCAAACUCUCCAGAAUUCAAGUAUACACUACCAGGAACUCGAAUCCACCAUCAGAAUUAGCAAAGGGUGUGUGGUUCGUCCGGAAAAACACGGAGAAGUCUCGCCGCCGGCGAGUUUUCCCCGAGUUCCGGCAAUCGAUACCGUUAUCCUUUGACGAAUUUGAAGGCGUCAACAAGCUCCUUGCAACAUGAACUUUCUAAUGGUAUAACCAAGAACAGCCCAGAAUCAAUAACAAAGAAACGCCCAAAUUCGAUUAAAAACAUUCAUAUCCUUCAAGAACACCACUAAAUAAUCAAACCCCUCUUUCUAUAUGAUUCCGAACUCCAAAUUCAACAUAUAAUAUACCAAAACGACGAGAAAAGCACGUACUACAACAUGGAAUCAUCAAAACAAUCAAAUAACCACGUUUGCAAAAAUUCACUAUUUAAAUCAUAAUAAUUCGAAUUUUAAAACUUCAAUUACUCCCUACCUGUGAAUCUCAUGUUGUUUUUGAUGAUUGAUUUGGGUUCUACUCUUCGAUAUCUUCGAUUUGACUAUUUGCACGCUUGAAUCUGACUCCAAUAACACCUUCAAAUCUUCGUUUGAUUAUGAAGAACACGAAGAACACCGCUCGGUUUCUCUCGGUAUUCGUGCAGAGAAACUGGUGAAAUGAUUUUACGGGUGAAAAUAAGCUCUAGAAAGGUCUAUUUAUAUUUACAAAUAAUUGGUACCCCUUUGGAUCGUUUAUGACAUGAAAAUACGUAUUUAAUAGCUUUAUAUUAAUAAAGCGGGGUCCAAUCGGUACUGGUUUUCAAGAUAAUCAUCAAAACGGGGCUUUUUAAUCAGUCAUUAGUAUGCGGGUCCCACUGCAAUUAUUACAAGAUAAGGAUGAAUCAAAAUAUCUAGUUUCACGUUUAUCGAGACAACAAGAUAAUUAUCAACAAUUAAAAUACCCGAAAAACUCCGCCGGACCGACUCCGGGGAAAACCGUACUCCGGAUCGAAAAAGUCAAAACACGAAAAAUGUCCGGAAUAUUCAAAUUAGGCUAAAGGUUAGUUUUGUUGAAACUUCCGGAAAGAAAAUUUGCUACCUCGUUACGAGUGGACGGUUUUACGGAAGUCAAAUAAUUAAUAAAUAAAUAUAAAUAUACACAAUUAAAUCCGUAAAUCGAUUAUAAAAUCAUAUAACAUUCCAUAAAUCGAUAUGAAAAUAUCCAAAUAAACUAUAUUUUCUCAUGAGCAUAUAGAAAUUGAAAUCUCGCGAAUACGAACACAUAUGAGCAUUCAGGUCAAUAAACUAGAUAACACAAAAUUCACAAAAAUUCAUAUAUUAAUCAUAUCAUAUUAAUAAUUAAUCAUAACUAAUUAACAAACAAAUUCACCAAUACCACUUAAUCACAUAACACAUAUAUUCACAUAAUAUUCAUACAGAAUUUUCAAAACAAUAUAUGAAAAUCAGUUUUGAAAAUACAAUUAUUUAUCAAUAACACAAUAACCCGGGGUUUAAAUAUAAAACUUUGAAAACUCAUUAAACUGGAAUAAAAUAUUAAAUCUUAUUCCUUUCUUUUUAAGAAAAUCAUUUAUAAUAUUAACAAAAAUAUUUUUAAAAUCCGGGUUAUUACACCAUAUCGUUGUGAUUUCGAGGAGUGGGCAAUGGAAUAGAAUGAGAAUGAGAAUGAGGAUGAGGAGGAGGAGGAGGAUUGUGAUGAAUCAAGUGACCACCAAAUGUACUAUUGAUUGGAAUUGGCAUCUCACCAUCUUGACCUGAGAGUUCCAUUUCUUGACUUGUGUUGUUUAUUUGGAGACCAAAGUUGAAGAAACAACAAGAGAGGAAGAGAAGAAUUAUCUUGGAUGUGUAAAUUAUUUAAGAUCAAAAGUGAUGGGUGAGCUACCUUAACAAACCAAUUUCUAGGAGCUUGUUUUUAACCACUUGUGCACUCUAAAAAAGUAAACAUGCAUGCUACACAAUUAGGAAACUAUUACUAAUCAUUGAUCCUACCUAUUAUACUACAAAACAUGACAUUCUUUAUAUUUUCCUCAACCUCAGCAAAAAUAAUUAAUUAGAAAAGUGCACACCUUGAAAUAAACUAGUGUGUGGGCAUGUGUCUUUUUUUUUUUUGGUUAAUCAGGCAGACAUGGCUAGCCAUGAGAACAAAGACUCUGACCAAAAGAAACAAGAAAAGAACUCAGGAGAAGCCUGAACAAUGACAGAAUGAGAUAAACUUGUAGACAUAAUUAAGCUACAACUAAGAAGAGAAAAGAGAAAACAGUAAAAAAUUGUUGGGUUUAGUUUAAGAUAGUAUUAUAAAAAGCAGGAAUAUAGGUCUGCAGAUUUCAGAGAAGGAGAAGAAGAAAGACAAUGGAGAGUUUUGGAGGUGGGUUUUGC
rnacentral:lncRNA from 1 species